rnacentral:lncRNA from 1 species
GCAGGAAGGAUUAUACAGAUAUAGGAAAAAAAUAGAAAGCCGAAAAGGAGUCGCAAGAUAAGAAUUUUAAUUUUAAUUGAAUGCAGGCCAUUAGAAAUGGUUGAAAAAGAGUUUCACAAGUUGAAACAAGGCUUCUGGUUUCAAAAAUAGCAUCGAUUUAUGCAUCUAAAUAUUUAGAUUUGGCUGAACAUAAAGUAGGAGUGAGAACGGGGCAGGUCGCAGGCGGGUCAGGUGCUCUGACCCCUGCCCCGACGACCGGGGCGCGGAACUGGCGGAUCCUACAAUUAAACCUGAAAUUUUAUAAAUUCUAUAUAAACCUGAAAAAUGAAGUAAUGUACAAUUAAAAUUUAUAAAGUUAUAAGAAAACAAUUAUAAAAUUAACAAAAAUUAUAAAUUAACAACAAUCAUAAAACUAAACAUAUUACAAUAAGUCAAUAACCAUAAAAUUAAACAUCUUCAAUCUUCAUCUUUAUCAUCUAUAGAAAUUGUAUUAAAGUUAAUAAAAUUUAAUUGAUUCCUGGAUCAUAUCUAAUGUUGUUUAUCUCCUGCCUUGGACGAAUAGAUUUGUGCAGGAGUUCUUGCGACUACAGGUAUUUAUUUAUGCAUUUCUCAUCAUCCAAAUUACUUGAACAUAACCACUUUUAUUUUUUUGCAGUUUCCCAAAGGUAAUGUUCCGGAAUGGGUUUGCAAUACUAUGGAGGUUGCCGGAAUAGACAUCUCUUCCUGCUGCUGUCCAAUUUUGUCAUAUUAGUGUUGCAGAAAAGAAGAAAAAGAAAUUUUACAGUAUAAAUUAUAUAGAGUUAAACAUGUUGCCAUAAAUCAUGAUUUAUUUUGUGGCUACGAGUCUAC